rnacentral:tRNA from 1 species
GCUGACAUAGCACAAUGGUAGUGCACUUCCAUGGUAAGGAAGAGGUUAUGAGUUCGAUCCUCAUUGUCAGCA